GACGGAGGGCGCAAGCGUUGUUCGGAAUCACUGGGCGUAAAGAGCGAGCAGGUGGCUUAUUAAGUCAGAUGUGAAAUCCCAAGGCUUAACCUUGGAACUGCGUUUGAAACUGAUAGGCUAGAGUGCAGUAGGGGAGGGUGGAAUUCCUAGUGUAGAGGUAAAAUUCGCAGAUAUUAGGAGGAACACCGGUGGCGAAGGCGGCCCUCUGGACUGCAACUGACACUCAGUCGCGAAAGCGUGGGGAU
rnacentral:rRNA from 1 species